CCCAACCGAGAGGAGGGGGAUGCCUAAGGUAGGACUGAUGACUGGGGUGAAGUCGUAACAAGGUAGCCGUACCGGAAGGUGUGGCUGGAUCACCUCCUUUUAGGGAGACCUAAUCCAUUUAGAAAUCGAAAACAAUGAAAAUUGUCAAUAGAAACUAAAUUGGUCUAACCUAGGUCGUUCGAGAUUGGUAGACAUCUUUCAAAGUAUUAUUCGGCUUCGUUCAAAACCAUAUAUAAUAAAUGGAAAAAGACAGCACCUAAUUGUCAAAGUUAGACUGCUGGAUGAAAUUCCAGCCAGAACCUUGAAAACUGCAUAAGAGAACAAGAAAAAGCAGGCAGACACAGACAUUUAGAUGGAUGUGAAAGCAAAAGAAAUUGUGGUCAAGCUAAUAAGGGCUAAUGGUG
rnacentral:misc_RNA from 1 species